CCUACGGGGGGCUGCAGUGGGGAAUAUUGCGCAAUGGGCGAAAGCCUGACGCAGCGACGCCGCGUGAGGGAUGAAGGUCUUCGGAUCGUAAACCUCUGUCAGCAGGGAAGAACGGUCACUGUGCUAAUCAGCAGUGAAUUGACGGUACCUGCAAAGGAAGCACCGGCUAACUCCGUGCCAGCAGCCGCGGUAAUACGGAGGGUGCGAGCGUUAAUUGGAAUUACGGGGCGUAAAGCGCUCGUAGGCGGUAUGUCAAGUCAAGGGUGAAAUCCCCGCGCUCAACGUGGGAACUGCCUUUGAAAAUGGCAAACUGGAGUGUGUGAGAGGAAAGUGGAAAUCCAGGUGUAGGAGUGAAAUCCGUAGAUAUCUUGAGGAAAA
rnacentral:rRNA from 1 species